AAUUGCGGUCAUACCCCACUGGAGAUGCGCAAUCUCAUCUGAUCUUGGAAGCUAAGCAGUGGAGGGCCAGGUUAGUACUUGGAUGGGAGACCACCUGGGAAUACUCAGGUGCUGCAAUUU